rnacentral:rRNA from 1 species
AAUAGCUCACUAGUCGAGUCGGCCUGCGCGGAAGAUGUAACGGGGCUAAAACUAGAAGCCGAAGCUGCGGAUGCAUAUUUUAUACGCGUGGUAGGGGAGCGUUCUGUAAGUCUGCGAAGGUGUGUUGAGAAGCUUGCUGGAGAUAUCAGAAGUGCGAAUGCUGACGUGAGUAACGAUAAGGGGUGUGAAAAACACCCCCGCCGGAAGACCAAGGGUUCCUGCUCAACGUUAAUCGGAGCAGGGUGAGUCGACCCCUAAGGCGAGGCUGAGAAGCGUAGUCGAUGGGAAACAGGUUAAUAUUCCUGUACCUUUUACUGAUGCGAUGGAGGGACGGAGAAGGCUAUAUCUACCAGCGAUUGGUUGUGCUGGGGAAAGGUUGUAGGCAUGUGUCUUAGGCAAAUCCGGGACACUCUAUGCUGAGAACUGAGACGAACCUGUACUUGUACGGGGAAGUGAUAGAUGCCAUGCUUCCAAGAAAAGCUCCUAAGCUUCAGUCAGUAAGGGAUCGUACCCGAAACCGACACAGGUGGUCAGGUCGAGAAGACCAAGGCGCUUGAGAGAACUCUGGUGAAGGAACUAGGCAAAAUAGUACCGUAACUUCGGGAGAAGGUACGCUGUUGAGGGUUAAGGAUUUACUCCGUAAGCCUUCGGCAGCCUCAGAAACUAGGCCGCUGCAACUGUUUAUUAAAAACAUAGCACUCUGCAAACACGAAAGUGGACGUAUAGGGUGUGAUGCCUGCCCGGUGCUGGAAGGUUAAUUGAUGGGGUUAGCGUAAGCGAAGCUCUUGAUCGAAGCCCCAGUAAACGGCGGCCGUAACUAUAACGGUCCUAAGGUAGCGAAAUUCCUUGUCGGGUAAGUUCCGACCUGCACGAAUGGCAUAAUGAUGGCGGCGCUGUCUCCAGCAGAGACUCAGUGAAAUCGAAAUCGCGGUGAAGAUGCCGUGUACCCGCGGCUAGACGGAAAGACCCCGUGAACCUUUACUGCAGCUUUGCACUGAACUUUGAUCUUACCUGUGUAGGAUAGGUGGGAGGCUUUGAAGCUCGGACGCUAGUUCGAGUGGAGCCAUCCUUGAAAUACCACCCUGGUAAUAUUGAGGUUCUAACCCAGGUCCGUUAUCCGGAUCGGGGACAGUGUAUGGUGGGUAGUUUGACUGGGGCGGUCUCCUCCUAAAGAGUAACGGAGGAGUACGAAGGUGCGCUCAGAGCGGUCGGAAAUCGGUCGUAGAGUAUAAAGGCAAAAGCGCGCUUGACUGCGAGACAGACAAGUCGAGCAGGUACGAAAGUAGGUCUUAGUGAUCCGGUGGUUCUGUAUGGAAGGGCCAUCGCUCAACGGAUAAAAGGUACUCUGGGGAUAACAGGCUGAUACCGCCCAAGAGUUCAUAUCGACGGCGGUGUUUGGCACCUCGAUGUCGGCUCAUCUCAUCCUGGGGCUGAAGCAGGUCCCAAGGGUAUGGCUGUUCGCCAUUUAAAGAGGUACGCGAGCUGGGUUUAGAACGUCGUGAGACAGUUCGGUCCCUAUCUACCGUGGGCGUUGGAAAUUUGAGAGGAUCUGCUCCUAGUACGAGAGGACCAGAGUGGACGAACCUCUGGUGUACCGGUUGUGACGCCAGUCGCAUUGCCGGGUAGCUAUGUUCGGAAGGGAUAACCGCUGAAAGCAUCUAAGCGGGAAGCCUACCUCAAGAUAAGGUCUCCCUGAGGGUUUAACCCUCCUAAAGAGCCGUUAGAGACCAUGACGUUGAUAGGUUCGGUGUGGAAGUGCAGCGAUGCAUGAAGCUAACGAAUACUAAUUGCUCGUGAGGCUUGACU